UACGAAGGGGGGCGAGCGUUGUUCGGAUUUACUGGGCGUAAAGCGCGCGCAGGCGGUCCUUUAAGUCUGAUGUGAAAGCCCACGGCUCAACCGUGGAGGGUCAUUGGAAACUGGAGGACUUGAGUACAGAAGAGGAAAGUGGAAUUCCACGUGUAGCGGUGAAAUGCGUAGAGAUGUGGAGGAACACCAGUGGCGAAGGCGACUUUCUGGUCUGUAACUGACGCUGAGGCGCGAAAGCGUGGGGAGCAAACAGG
rnacentral:rRNA from 1 species